rnacentral:sRNA from 1 species
AUGGUCCACGCGUACACUCCGGUGCUGAGCGCGCGGUCCACACCUACCUGACGACUGCUCGCUACGUUUUGUUAGCC